GAAUGUCUCUAUUCCUACAGAGAUCUUUCUGAACUACGACUUGAAUUUUGGAUGGGGGAUUGGAAGACGGUGGGAAAAUAUUUGGUAAAGACUUGACUGCUCUCCUGGCUGAAAUGUUUCACCCAGGAUAACCCCAGUUAUACUUGGGGCAGCAAGAUUGGAGAGAGAGUCAAGGAGAGAGAGAGAGAGAUUUUGAUUCAAGGAGCAGUCCAGUGCAAGGUCUCAGUGUCUAACAAGUCUCUGUGGUUCAGAUGGAUAUCCGACUUCAGUGAAGAAACAUAUCUUGUCCCAGAUUCCUUUCUCAUUAAUGGCAUGAUUCUUGAAAUAUGGCUCUUACAUUCACUGCUCUCCACUGGAAGAUAGAUGUUAUAGCCCCUCUUUGGCACUCUUUUCCUCUAAAAUGGCAUGAUGUGGGAUCAGGGUAAAGGACAGUACAUAUUUUCCCUGAGCCAAAAAGCCCCUUCCCAUGUAAAGCUCUCCUCAUGUAGUGUUCUUACUCCCUCUUUCCUUUGUUUCAGUAUUCAGGUUAUAUGGGAAUUGGGUCUUUUUCACUCAUAUAUUUUCUUUUUGACUGAGAGUUUAUACUGUAUAUUAUUUGGAUGCAGUUUUGGAAAAAUUAUGUUGGCCCUGAAAUGCCACACACAUUCAGGGAAAGAGCAAUAAUUAUGUAGAGAGCAGGUGGGCCCAGAGUGGGCAGUGUUGCCUUUCCUUUGAAAGUUCCAGGAAAAAUGAUUGCCACAGAAAUGGCAUCAUGCACAUUGAGCCUUGUGGCCACACUGCCACACUGUGAGAUGAGGAAGCCGUUUUGGCAGCUUGUGGGAAGCAAUCAACCUCAGACCUCAGGGGCUCAAUGUUGUGCACACUGAGCUGUUGUCCUGGAGGUAUGUUGAAAAUGAUUUAAAAGAUGAUGAAUCAGGUGGGUGGUACAUUUUGAUGAGAAAUAUUAUCUCCAUCUUUAGGCUUAUACCCACAAUCUCAUCAGUAUACUGAUCUAGACCUCGAUUAUACAGGCUUGCUGUUUGAUCAUGGUAUGUUUUAAAGGGACCAAUAAGCCAAGCAACUCAGAUCUUUUCCUACACAAGAAAAAAGACUCAUACCUAAUGGCCCUUAGAAACUCAUCAUCCCAGAGCACCAACACGGAAACCAUGUCCCUCUACCUUCAACCAAACACAAGGUCCUGGAUGUCACCCCUGAAGAUGACAUUUAAAAGGGGGAAAUUACAGAUCCACUCUUCUGAAUAUACAUGUCAAUACAUGAAAGCACAUGCUAGUCUUCCAAAUCAAAGGAAUAUUAACCCAGAAUGAACCCAGGAUAUUUCAGGUGCAUAUUCCACAGUUUGAUAAGCACAACCUCUCUCUCUGAGUGCUUGCUGGUAGUGUGGUGACUAGGGCCAGUUCCAGCUCGUUUGUGGUGUCCACAAUUUUAAGGAAGGGAAGGAGGGUCUUUCUUAUGAUCCUCUUGAGCCAUGUGAGGAUAUCUUCAAGUGGACUUCCUUGAGGGUUCCCUCUUGGAUGAGAGAGGACUCUGUCCAUGCAAAUCGAGGGUCUAGAGAAGGUUGAUGAUUGGACCAAAUAGAGACUGGUUUUAGGUGACAGACUCUUUCACUCUGGCUCAUUGUCAGCCAGGUCUUGCUCAAGGGUGCUUAGAGUAGUUUGGAUGCCAAUUCAUUGAGACAUGAAAAGUCACAGACUUAAUUUGCUAAAUGCCUCAAGCAUGAGUCCUGAUGUCCACCUCCCCAGCAAAUUCAGAAAACCUGGUCAUCCAGGUGCGGUGUGCUGCAGGAAAGCAAAUUCUCAUGUGAUUGUGGUUGAAAAUAUUUUGAUCUCUGAGUCAACUUUGUGAACAUGGAAACCACGGUACACAUGAGGUGGUCAGUGGGUCACCAUGAAGGGCUGACAAUGGGAAGUGUGGUGUGAACAUGGCACAAGUUCCUACAGAGGUAUUCAUUCUGGACGACCACUUGUAUUUUGGAUGUGGGAUCAGAAGACAGAUGGAAAAUGUUGGGUAAAGACUUGGACUGCUUUUCUGGCUGAUAUAUUUCAGCCAGUAUCACUGAGGUAAACUUGGGGCAGCAGGAUUCUAGAGGGAGUGAAGGAGGGAGAAGGGGCAAGUGAGAGAGAGUGAAAGAGUCAGAGAGAGUGAUAAAAGAGAUUUUGAUUCCAACAACUGUCCAGGGCAAGACUCUUUGGCAAGGAGGUGUCUGUGAUUCAGGUGUAUACCUGGCUUCAGAGAAGAAUCUGCACUCUUGUCCCAGAUACUUCAAUCCUCAUUGGUGUGACUCUUGAAAUUUGGCCGUUACAUUCACUGCUCCCCACAGGAAGAUAAGGGUUAUACCACUUUUUGGCACCAAUUUCCUCUAAAAUGGCAUGAUGCGGGGAUCAGGUUAAAAUAUAGUAUACAUUUUCCCUGAGCUGAAAAUCCCAUUCCCAUGUAAACGGCUUCUCAUGUUUUGUUCUUUCCAACUUUUUGCUUGUUUUCAGUAUCAAACUAUUUGGGAAGUUGGUUUUAGUCACUCACAUAUUUUUUUUCCAACUGAUUGUUUAUACUGUGGAUGCCUGGGAAGCAGAUUUUGGGAAAAAAAAGUUGACCAUGAACUGCCACACAUGUUCAGAGAAAUAGCCAUUAUUAUGUAGAGAGCAGGUGUGCCCAGAGUGGGUGGAGUGGCCUUCCCUCUGAAAAUCCAGGCCAACUGGUUUCCACAAAAAUGGCAUUAUGCCUAUCAGGCCUUGGGCCCCAACUGCCAAUCUGUGAGUUGAGAGGUACAUGUAGGGCAGCAUGUGGGAAGCUCUCAACCUCACAAUAUGCGGGUUGGAUGAUCAGCAAACUGAGAAGUUGUUCUGGAGGUAUGCUGAUACUGAUAUUAAGGAUCAUCCAUCAGGUGGGUGGUAUAAUUUGAUGAAAAAUAUUAUCUCCAUCUUUAGCCUCAUGGCCACCACCCUCAUCAGUCUACUGAGGUACAUAUGAAUUAUACAUGCUUGCUGCUUGAUCAUGGUAUAUCUUACAGUAAACAGUGAUCUGACUGCCUCAAUACUUUUCCUACAUGUAAAAAAUCUCGUGCCAAGUGGCCAUUUUAAUAAUGUCAUCCCAGAGCACAAACACGGAAACCCUGCCACUCUUCCUUCAACUAAGCAAGAGGCCUUCAAUGUCACCCCUGAAGAAGACAUUCCAAAGGGGGAAAUUACAGCUCCACUCUUCUGAAUAUACAUAUCUAUAGAUGAAGCUACAUGCUAGCCAUCGAAAGCAAAGGAAUUUUAACCGAGAAUGAAGCCGGGAUAUUUCUGUUUGAUUUUCCAUAGGUGGAUAAGCACAAGCCCUCUCUCUCUUUGGGUGCUGGCUGGAAGUGUGGAAACUAGGGACAGUGCCAUCAUGUUUGUGGUGUCCACAAUUUUAGGGAAGGAAAGGGGUGUGACUCUUGUUAUCCUCCAUGAAUCCUGUGGUGAUGUCUUCAAUUGGAAUGUCCUGAGGGUUCUCUCUUGGAGGAGAGGGGACUCUGCCCAUGGAAACUGAGGGUCUAGAGAAGGAUGAGGAGUGUCCCAAAUAGAGACUCGAUUUGGGUGAUAGAAAUCUUGCACUACAGCUGACUGUCAUCCAGGCCUUUGUCACGGGUGCUCAGACAGGUGUUCUGAUGCCAAUUAACUGAGACAUGGAGAGUCACACACUUCAUUUCCUAAACCCCCAAGAACGAGUCCAGAUCUGCUCUUCCCCAGGCAAUCCAGAAGACCUGAUCAUCUAGGAGUGGUCUGCUGCAGGAAAGCUAAUUAUUGCAAAAGCCCUCAUGUGAAGGAGGUUGAAAAUAUUUUGAUCUGAGUCAAAUUUGU
rnacentral:lncRNA from 1 species